AUGAAAACAUCAUCCCAUCGGUUUCCGAUGACGAUGGAUUUGGGUGUUGCCGUCUGGCUCGCCUUAAAAGCCUUAGUGAUUCCGAGGUCGAAUCUGGCGUAAUAAGUUUCGCUGGCCAAGACCGAGAGGAUCGCUCACAACCCGUCUUCUGACAUUUUUGCUCUGACCUCAAAUCAGGUAGGACUACCCGCUGAACUUAA
rnacentral:misc_RNA from 1 species